UGGGGAAUAUUGCACAAUGGGCGCAAGCCUGAUGCAGCCAUGCCACGUGUGUGAAGAAGGCCUUCGGGUUGUAAAGCACUUUCAGCGGGGAGGAAGGCGAUAAGGUUAAUAACCUUGUCGAUUGACGUUACCCGCAGAAGAAGCACCGGCUAACUCCGUGCCAGCAGCCGCGGUAAUACGGAGGGUGCAAGCGUUAAUCGGAAUUACUGGGCGUAAAGCGCACGCAGGCGGUCUGUCAAGUCGGAUGUGAAAUCCCCGGGCUUAACCUGGGAACUGCAUUCGAAACUGGCAGGCUAGAGUCUUGUAGAGGGGGGUAGAAUUCCAGGUGUAGCGGUGAAAUGCGUAGAGAUCUGGAGGAAUACCGGUGGCGAAGGCGGCCCCCUGGACAAAGACUGACGCUCAGGUGCGAAAGCGUGGGGAGCAAACAGG
rnacentral:rRNA from 1 species